UUUCGUUUCGUUAGCUUCUCCUCAAUAAAAUACGAAAUAUUAAAGAAUAACAUGUCUUCUAAGGGAUAUAUAAGAAUUCCCGAAAGUCAAAUCCGCCUAGAACGAAGUAAACGGCUGGAAAACAGAAAGUGGCAUAACAAUAUCAUGAAUUUGUUGUUAAGAAAGAAUGUUUGUGGUGCAUGUUUAGGAAUGGAAAAUGAUCUUGUUCACUGGGAUAUUGAAUUUGUUGUAGUGCGAUGCGAGAAUGAGAAUGAAAGCUCUUUGAAGAACAUUAUGAUCUCUACUUUUGGACCGAGUGUUACAAGCAUCAUUCCAACACCAAAUUUUUGCCAAGAAUGUGUAGACACAAUACUGGGCGCUCAUCUCCUGAUACUACAACUAAGAGAAAACUGUAAAAACAUACAGAAACAGUUGAUAGAGAUAUCGCAGCAAAUGAAAUGGACGGCAUAUUUAGAUGAAACGGGAUCUUUGUCGGAAACUAUAUUAAAUAACAAAGCUAUUCAAGAAGAUUAUAACUUAAUUACUGAUUAUAAUGAAACAGAUGAUUUAACAAAUGUAAAUAACUC